UUCCUUUCUGAUAGCCCAUCCUGGAGGCCUUUGGCACCUAAGAGCACUCUGAGGGCACCACCCUCUUCUCCACGGUGCUCCCCUCGUGUGUGACCUGGCAGGUAAAAUUGCUAUAAGAUUUCCACUUGUCAGGUGACAGACUCAGGUA